UUAAUUUAUCAGAGUUAUACCAACUUAAUUCAUUAAAGAAAUAAUGUUUAAUUUUUUAAAGAUAAAUAGUUAUUUAAAAUGAAAUAUGAUAAAUAAAAAUAAAAAGUUUAAGUCUUAUAUAAAAUAAAACACAAAUAUAUGAAAAUAUGACAUUUACUAAAUAUUUGAUUGAAAAAAAAAUAAAUAAACAUGCGCUUUGAAUUGUUCAAAUAUUUAGUAACUAGUAAUAUUCUUCAAAUUGUUGAAUAUAUUAACUAGUAAUAGAACGAACAAUUGUUGCAUUCUGCAACCAAAAUCAAAUAAAAUAAUAAAAUAGUUUACAUAAACAUUUUAUAUAAACUAAAAUGUGAUCUUAUUAUUUACGGGCUUGUUGGUUUGUCUUACAAUAGCAACAAUAUCAAGAAGAACACGGCAAUAACAUGAACAGAUAUAAACAAAUUUGUUUGUGUGAAAGGCAAACCUUUUCAUCUAAUUUUGUUUUGGAUUUUUAUCCAAACACAUAAAAAUUUUCCUAAUAUUUUAUGCUUUUAACGCUUCAUUUGAAUAUCUUCUAAAAUUUGUAACCAUGUAACUGUUUAUAACUAUUUUUUGCCACCAUUUUAUUAGUUGAUUAGUGAAAAUUAUAUUUUAAGAAAUGCAUGGUAGAGACUAUUUAUAGAUUUUUAAAAUCUAUUUGAAUAGUUACAACUCUUCAAUUUGAAUAGUCGUAUUCUUCCAAUUUAAAUAUAGUUAUUUUGUAAAGAUACUUAUAAGAAUAGUCACAUUUUUUUCAUUUUUUAAAAGAUACAUAUAUAUGAAUAAUCACAAUCUUUAGACAAUUUUUAGAAAAGAUAGUACAACUUUCCAAUAUUUUUGUAAAAGACACAACCUUUUAAAUAUUUUCUUACAAAAGACAACCUUUCAAUCAAUUUUUAGAAAAGAUACAACCUUGCAACAUUUUUGUAAAAGAUACAACAUUUUAAACAUUUUUUACAAAAGACACAAUCUUUCAAUAUAAGUGGAUUCAUAACUUUUGGAAUUAAUUGAGAUUGCUAUUAUUAAUAGAUCUAGUUUUAAAUUGUAAAGCUUAAACUAGAUUUUGACCCGCGCUUAGAAAGCGCAGAUUUAUUUUUUGAAUUUAAUAAUUUUUAAUAUAAAUUUUUAUAUAAGAUAGUUUAAGUUUGGUAUUGAAAAAAUGAAACCAAACUUGAACCAAAAUUUAUAAAUAACCGAACAUAUCAUAUAUCUCUAGAUCCAAGAUAAAUAGAUACCUGAAUUUUUAAAAUAUAAAUUAUAUACAUACAAAUAUUAAUUAUAUGUAAUUUCUAAAUAACCAAAUAUCUUAAAUAUACUAUAUACUAUUUAUAAGCUGAAUUAUCCAAUAAAAAUAAAUUACUCAAACAUUUUUUUCAAAUAUUAAAAAAAUAUCUUAAUAAGUCCUCAACAUUCGGUCUAAUUUUCCACUAAAAAGAACCAAAACACCAAUAAGUGGUAUCCACAGUCAAACCAGUAAACGCAGUCACCAUAUAUAAUCUAGUUUCAAUUUAAUAAAAAUCCAUUAUUUAAAAUCCUUAAAAAUCUAAAACCCAUAUUAACUCGUGAAUCUAUACCAGAUGACAUGGUAAAAUCUAAAAUAACUUGAUAAUAUUUUUCAAAAUUUGAAUAAAUUUCUCAUAUAAAUUUUACUAAGAUAUAAAAUUGAAUAAACUACAUUUUUUUAUGUUAUACAUUCUAGUUUAUAGGUUUUAUAAUGACUAUAUUAAGAUUAAAUUUUUGAGUUUUAGAAAUAAAAUUAUUAUUAAGUUGAGUAUAGUUUAGUUACCUAUAAAUGUUAAAAAUAAAUAAUAUAUUUUAUUUAAACAUAAAAAACGAUCUAAAAAUGCUAUAAUUUCCUGAGAAAAUAUUUAUACAAAACCCUUUCUCCUAAUAAAUCCAGUUGUAAAAGAUUUUCAUCACAAAAAAAUAACCUAGGAAGGUUUUGAAAUAUAAUUAAGCUUGUUGUUGUACUGUAAAGUAUUUCUCUAAUCGUAAUUGGAAGUUAAUAUGUUUUGACCGUCGAAUGGUAUCAUGUUUUUAACUUUCUGUUAACCGUACUUGCAUCAUGUUUUUAUGUUAGUUUGGGUCAUAAAACAUUUAAUAUGAAUUAAAAGUAUGGUAUUGUUCAGACUUUAAUUACCAAUAAAUCCAAAUGUUUAUAUAAUAACUACUUUUGUUAAAGAAAAAUGAUCGUGGGUUGUAUGAUUAUUAAAUCAGUUAUAAAAUAAUCUGUUUUUUUUUAAUAGGUUUAGUGACACAAAAGUAAUAUUCCAAAGAAAAAUAGGGGUAAAAUAUAUCAAUGAUUCUGAAUUAAUAAUAUUGAUGUAUAAAUCUUUGGUGUAUUAUAGUAAGUUGAGUAUUAUUAAAUAAGAGCAUUGGUUAUUUUAUAGUUAGAGAAAUAUAAGGUAAUUGAUUAGUGUAUAGUUAGAAAAAUAUAUGGUGAGACCAAAAAAAUAGUUAAGUCUAGUGAAUAGGUUCAACAACCUUUUAUAAGUAGAUUUUUUGGAACUCCUUCCCUUUUAAUAGUAUAGAUGUUAAAGAUAUAAGAGCACCAAACAUGGCAAGCACUUAUAAAUCAUGUUGUUGUGCUCAUGCUCAAAAAAAAAACUAGUUCUAUAACAACCAGAUUAAUCAAUUUCAACCUAAUAAAGAUUCAGUUGAAUAGAAUAUACGCAAAUGUUACAGAUCAUUACCAACCAGGAGCUUAACUGUGAUCUUUACUAAAAUAACCUCACUGACCACGAUUGCAUAGCCUCAAAUUUGUGUAAUUAGUGUGUUUACCCUAUUAGUAUUAGGCCAUUUUAAAACUCUUGUCAUGUCAUAUGACAUUUUAAAGAUCUUUGAGAAGUUUGGUGUAGUAGUGACUACUACAUUUUGAAAAUUUCUUUGUUUAUUUCCUAUCUCCAACUUCUAAUUACGGAAGCUGGAGAUUGAUUCCUACAUGACUUUAAGUUUCAUGAUGGACCUAUCCGUUCCCUAGACUUCCACCCUCUUGAGUUUCUCCUAGCCACUGGUUCUGCUGACAGGACUGUGAAGUUCUGAGAUUUGGAAACGUUUGAAUUGAUUGGAUCUACUAGACCAGAGGUAACUGAGCUUGUGAAGUUUUGUUCUACUAGAUUUGAUGUCUAUUGACUUAUAACAUGACUUGUUGUGGAGAUAGGGUGUCGUUUGUCUCUCUUGAAAGAAGACCUCAUACAUUGACAAAUUUAUAAUUAUAUUUGUAACAAGAGCAGUCGGCAAAUAAUCUGACAUAGUACUAAUUUAUAUUUGGAUACACUUCGUAAUAUGUAACAAAACUAAUCUUCUUCCUGGCAUGUGGUGUCCCUUGUUUCACAGGCUACUGGAGUUCGUUCAAUUGCUUUUCAUCCAGAUGGACAAACCCUUUUCUGUGGAUUGGAUGAUGGCUUGAAGGUUUUUUAUUGUCUUUGAGAUAAACUAGACAGCUUAGAUGUUGAUAUCACAAGUUCAUGGUCAUAAAUGCCAACCAGUGAUAUGCCGGGAUAGUGUUUGGGUUUGGGUCUGAGAUAUAUCGGUAUGUCACCUAUUGCACUAGUCCAUAAGUUCUGUGAAAGAUGAAUCUUGAACGUUUUUGAAACUGUUUGUGUUGGUUUGCUCCAGAAACUUGAGCCAUUGGAGCUCAAUCUGAGGAUGGGAAUGAAUGCAUAGUGAAAAGAUUGAGUGUCUUGGAUGACCAGUCGUCUUAGAGAAUGGGGAGUACCUCAAGGGGGCAGUUCAUCCCCAGAUUAUGAGACAAUAGGGAUAAAGAACAUAUACGUUGACUGUGAGUGAAACUGAAUGAACAUACAUUGUCUUGAUCACAUCUAACCGUUUUUUUUCUUCUUUAUUGCAUGAAACAAAGCAGUCUUGAACAUACAUUGUCUUUGAUGUCAGUUUCUGUGCCUUUUCUUCUUUUAAAGCUAUAGGUGGAAAUUUGAAAGGGGCUAUUAGAGCGAGAAGCAGAAUGCAACAACAUGUUUUGGACAUGCAGAGGACAAGUCUUCCAGAACGCAUAAUGUUGGAUCGCUGGAUAGUGAGUGGGGAAGAAUAUGUUUGAACUAAAAGACAUAUCUGGAAGAGCAACGAGACUGUAGCUACCUAAUCAACUACUAGGAGAUGCUCCCAGUCCUCAAGAGAGAAUCUCUGGUCACAUUUUCCAAAGGCACAUGCUACCAUUUUUUUCUUCUUUUCCUGCAAGAGUUUGUCAAGAGUUUUGUGUCAGCUUAUAAUAAUAAUAUAUCACAAGGUGAACCAAAAAGCAUAGAACAUUUACCUGAAGCUUUAGCAAACGAUC